CUGGUUGAUCCUGCCAGUAGUCAUAUGCUUGUCUCAAAGAUUAAGCCAUGCAUGUCUAAGCACAUGCCUUAAUACGGUGAAGCCGCGAAUAGCUCAUUACAACAGCCAUCGUUUAUUAGAAUAUCGUUAUCUUACUUGGAUAACUGUGGCAAUUCUAGAGCUAAUACAUGCAAUAAAGCUCCGCCCGAAAGUAACGAGCGCAUUUAUUAGAAUAAAAACCAAUCGAGCUUCGGCUCGUAAUUUGGUGAAUCUGAAUAACUUUGCCAAUCGCACAGUCCUAGUACUGGCGAUGUAUCUUUCAAGUGUCUGCCUUAUCAACUUUCAAUGGUACGCUAUACGCCUACCAUGGUAGUAACGGGUAACGGAGAAUAAGGGUUCGACUCCGGAGAGGGAGCCUGAGAAACGGCUACCACAUCCAAGGAAGGCAGCAGGCGCGCAAAUUACCCACUUCCAGAACGGAGAGGUAGUGACGAAAAAUAACGAGACAGUCCCCUUCGAGGUCUGUCAUCGGAAUGGGUACAAUUUAAAUCCUUUAACGAGGAUCUAUUGGAGGGCAAGUC
rnacentral:rRNA from 1 species